GCGGUAACGAUGAGGCUUCUUAACUCCACCAGUCGUUGGAGCAGACUUCCUUGCAGCCUUUGUGGCUAGCUGCUUCCUUGGAGCCUUUCCUCCCGUUGAUUUGCGAGCAGUUUGCUUCGUGCGAGCCAUUUUCUUUUGGAUAUACGAAAAUUAUUGAUUGACAAAAUUUAGAGCUGCAGAGAACGAUGAUUCUGCCCUUUUGUUAGAGGCGACCCAGGAUCACG
rnacentral:misc_RNA from 1 species